AGGGCAUCAGGGGAUUCACAGGGCUGAAGGGUGAUGUCGGCCUGCCAGGUGAUCGCGGUGAUGAUAACGACCAGCCAGGUCGGGGAGGACUCCAGGGGCCAAAAGGAUACCCUGGUCUCACAGGAGAGAAUGGAUCACCAGGCCCAGUGGGCCAUCCGGGGGCAGACGUGAGUAACUCUUAAAUAAUGGAGCAAUUGUGGGUGAUGGGAAGGAGCCAAAGUCCAACACA